UACGUAGGGGGCAAGCGUUGUCCGGAUUUAUUGGGCGUAAAGAGCGUGUAGGCGGCCAGACAGGUCCGUUGUGAAAACUCGAGGCUCAACCUCGAGACGCCGAUGGAAACCGUCGUGCUAGAGUCCGGAAGAGGAGAGUGGAAUUCCUGGUGUAGCGGUGAAAUGCGCAGAUAUCAGGAAGAACACCAGUGGCGAAGGCGGCUCACUGGCCCGGUACUGACGCUGAGGUGCGAAAGCGUGGGGAGCAAACAGG
rnacentral:rRNA from 1 species